UACGGGGGGAGCAAGCGUUGGUUCGGAUUUACUGGGCGUAAAGGGCGCGGUAGGCGGUCGUGACAAGUCACUUGUGAAAUCUCCGGGCUUAACUCGGAACGGUCAAGUGAUACCUGUCGGACUAGAGUAACAGAAGGGGCAACUGGAAUUCUCGGUGUAGCGGUGAAAUGCGUAGAUAAUCGAGAGGAACACCGUGCGGA
rnacentral:rRNA from 1 species